GGGCCGUUAGCUCAGUCGGUAGAGCAGCGGACUUUUAAUCCGUUGGUCCCGCGUUCGAAUCGCGGACGGCCCA
rnacentral:tRNA from 1 species